rnacentral:rRNA from 1 species
AAAGCGGAGGAAAAGAAACCAACAGGGAUUGCCCUAGUAACGGCGAGUGAAGCGGCAACAGCUCAAAUUUGAAAUCUGGCUUCGGCCCGAGUUGUAAUUUGCAGAGGAAGCUUUAGGCGCGGCACCUCCUGAGUCCCCUGGAACGGGGCGCCACAGAGGGUGAGAGCCCCGUAUAGUUGGAUGCCUAGCCUGUGUAAAGCUCCUUCGACGAGUCGAGUAGUUUGGGAAUGCUGCUCAAAAUGGGAGGUAAAUUUCUUCUAAAGCUAAAUACCGGCCAGAGACCGAUAGCGCACAAGUAGAGUGAUCGAAAGAUGAAAAGCACUUUGAAAAGAGGGUUAAAUAGCACGUGAAAUUGUUGAAAGGGAAGCGCUUGUGACCAGACUUGCGCCGGGCUGAUCAUCCGGUGUUCUCACCGGUGCACUCUGCCCGGCUCAGGCCAGCAUCGGUUCUCGCGGGGGGAUAAAGGCCCUGGGAACGUAGCUCCUCCGGGAGUGUUAUAGCCCGGGGCGGAA